ensembl:lncRNA
GAAGAAGUUAUUCAAGAGUUAUUCAAACGCUUGUAUAAUACGGUUGUUAGCUGGGGAAAAGUCAGGUUGAUUCGAAGUUAGAGCUGUGUAGUCAUUUGUAGCUUCAGAUGUUUUCAAAAGUGAGAACAUGUCUGACUUCGGGUUUAGCCAGAUUGCCCAGUUGUGUAAAUUCAAGAGUAACAUCUGUGCUCUGCAAACAUCAGCAUCGCACCUUCAGUUCUGAGUCUGGUGUCAGGUGUGAACCUGCAUUUAUUUGUGAGGAGAAUGGGGUCCAGCGGUGGACCUGCCAGUCCUGGUGUUCUUUGGUAAACGUCGGUUGAGCUGCAAG